GGACUGUGCCUCAGUGGUGGAGCAUCUGUCUUGCACAGAAGGUCCCAGGUGCAAUCCCUAGCAUCACCA